rnacentral:rRNA from 1 species
UACGUAGGUGGCAAGCGUUGUCCGGAUUUACUGGGCGUAAAGAGCGCGCAGGCGGUCGUUCAAGUCGAGUGUGAAAGCCCCCGGCUCAACUGGGGAGGGUCACUCGAUACUGAUCGACUCGAAGGCAGAAGAGGGAAGCGGAAUUCCCGGUGUAGUGGUGAAAUGCGCAGAUAUCGGGAGGAACACCAAUUGCGAAGGCAGCUCGCUGGGACGUCACUGACGCUGAGACGCGAAAGCGUGGGGAGCAAACAGGG